GUUGUAUUAUGUGUUCAGAGAAAUCUACACAAGAUAUUUCUUCCGGCUUCAUAGUAUAUCAUCUCAUCCACAGGGUAUUUUAUGCCUGAGUCUGUUAUUUGAGACACUACUACAAACGCAUGAACCAGAAUUAUUCUUUCAUCUCAAGUCAGUAGGCUGUCAACCAUUGAAAAUAGCAUUCAAAUGGCUGGUUAGAGCAUUUUCAGGGUAUUUGUCUAGCGACCAGGUUCUCCUGCUGUGGGACAGAGUCCUUGCUUAUAGCUCUUUAGAAAUCCUGCCAGUGUUGGCAGUGGCAAUAUUUUCAUUUAGAAAGACAAAUCUGCUCAAAGUCCAGUCCUAUAAUGCAGCUGAGGCUGUGCUGGCUGACCUUACAACCUUACAAGUGAUUCCUCUCAUUCAACUUGGAUUGUUUUCAAAAUGAACUGACAUUUUUCUCUUUGUAAUAAAAUCCUUUUUCAUGGUUGCAUUUUACAAAAAGUACAGAUGAAUUUUAAUAAUUGUAUAAUAUGUAUAUAUACAAAAUAAUACAACAUAUUUUAAUAUAUGUCUUAAAAAUUGAGCAGCCAAUACUAUUUUAUAAAUAGAGCCAUGGCAGGCUUUGUCCUAUUUCAAUACUGGUAGUAUAUUAGACAUGCUGGCUGUCUGUGAAAAUUAAGUGCUAAAUUCAUUCUUGAUAAUACUUUAAAAGAAUAGAAUUACACUUGGGAUCAUUAUACCUACUUUCAUUAUUUUGAUACAUAAAUUAUUUGUCGUUUUGUGUCAGUUGAAGUACUGGUGGUAUUGAGUAUGAAUAUUGAAAUUGAAUUCAAUGCAAAAUCUUCACUGCUUUGUGUGAUUUCUAAGUUUAAGUUAGUUUUUAUUAAGUGAAAUGUUAACCAUUAAGAACCUAAAAGGAAGCGACCGUAACGAGCGACGGUGGGUUCUUAAUUGUUAAAAAGUUAACUAUGUAAAACCUAACUUACUCAAUGUUUAACCUCAUUUGACAUCGCUGGAACGCCUUGAGCCUAUAGAAAGCUGUUUUCCAUACGAUGGGAGGAGUUUAGGGUGCAUAUUUUAUCUAUCAAUUACGUCAUUCAAUAUAUAAGUCUUGUAUUUACAUCGUGUAGCACUUAAUUUCUUUAAGGUUGCAA